rnacentral:rRNA from 1 species
AGUGAACGCUGGCGGCAGGCUUAACACAUGCAAGUCGAACGCACCGCAAGGUGAGUGGCAGACGGGUGAGUAACGCGUGGGAACCUUCCCUUUGGUUCAGGAUAGCUCCGGGAAACUGGAAUUAAUACUGGAUAAGAUCUACGGAUAAAAGAUUUAUCGCCGAAGGAUGGGCCCGCGUAAGAUUAGCUAGUUGGUGAGGUAAUGGCUCACCAAGGCAAUGAUCUUUAGCUGGUCUGAGAGGAUGAUCAGCCACACUGGAACUGAGACACGGUCCAGACUCCUACGGGAGGCAGCAGUGAGGAAUAUUGGACAAUGGGCGCAAGCCUGAUCCAGCCAUGCCGCGUGGGUGAUGAAGGCCUUAGGGUUGUAAAACUCUUUUAGUAGGGAAAAUAAUGAUGGUACCUACAGAAAAAGCUCCGGCUAACUUCGUGCCAGCCGCCGCAGUAA